rnacentral:rRNA from 1 species
CUCCAGACUCCUACGGGAGGCAGCGGUGAGGAAUAUUGGUCAAUGGACGAAAGUCUGAACCAGCCAUGCCGCGUGCAGGAUGAUGGCUCUAUGAGUUGUAAACUGCUUUUGUAUUAGGGUAAACACCCCUACGUGUAGGGGCUUGAAAGUAUAAUACGAAUAAGGAUCGGCUAACUACGUGCCAGCAGCCGCGGUCAUACGUAGGAUCCGAGCAUUAUCCGGAGUGACUGGGUGUAAAGAGUUGCGUAGGUGGCAUAAUAAGUAGCUAGUGAAAUCUGGUGGCUCAACCAUUCAGACUAUUAGCUAAACUGUUAAGCUCGAGACCGUUAGGGGUAACUGGAAUUUCUAGUGUAGGAGUGAAAUCCGUAGAUAUUAGAAGGAACACCAAUAGCGUAGGCAGGUUACUGGGACGGUUCUGACACUAAGGCACGAAAGCGUAGGGAGCAAACGGGAUUAGAUACCCGUGUA